rnacentral:miRNA from 1 species
CUACCAAGCGUACCAGCGCCG